rnacentral:rRNA from 1 species
GACGAACGCUGGCGGCGUGCUUAACACAUGCCAGUCGAACGGAAAGGCCCUGCUUUUGUGGGGUGCUCGAGUGGCGAACGGGUGAGUAACACGUGAGUAACCUGCCCUUGACUUUGGGAUAACUUCAGGAAACUGGGGCUAAUACCGGAUAGGAGCUCCUGCUGCAUGGUGGGGGUUGGAAAGUUUCGGCGGUUGGGGAUGGACUCGCGGCUUAUCAGCUUGUUGGUGGGGUAGUGGCUUACCAAGGCUUUGACGGGUAGCCGGCCUGAGAGGGUGACCGGCCACAUUGGGACUGAGAUACGGCCCAGACUCCUACGGGAGGCAGCAGUGGGGAAUAUUGCACAAUGGGCGGAAGCCUGAUGCAGCAACGCCGCGUGCGGGAUGACGGCCUUCGGGUUGUAAACCGCUUUCGCCUGUGACGAAGCGUGAGUGGCGGUAAUGGGUAAAGAAGCACCGGCUAACUACGUG